CAAAAGAAUAGGAGAAUUUUUUAAUAUUGCUCUUGCUAUUGCAAUUCUCUGUUUCUGUCCACCUGAUAGUUGGAGACCCCUUUGCCCUACCUAGAGUAGGACAUUUUAACAAGAAAGCUAAUUCAGCAUGCCUCAAUUUUUUCAUGGAAGCUUUGUUAUACAAGAAUUGACACAGAAUAGGAGGAUUUUUUAAUAUUGCUCUUGCUAUUGCAAUUCUCUGUUUCCGUCCACCUGAUAGUUGGAGACCCCUUUGCCCUACCUAGAGUAGGACAUUUUAACAAGAAAGCUAAUUCAGCAUGCCUCAAUUUUUUCAUGGAAGCUUUGCUAUACAAGAAUUGACACAUAGUUUUGAAUGUACUUUGGUCAUGCUACAACUACUUCCUUUUGACUUAUCAUGCUUAGAGGAUGACAGAGGAGCAGUAAAAUAUUUUAGCUAUUAGAGGCGGAAGAGUUUAGAAUCUUCAGUUUAGGGUAUUUGGCUCUUGAUUUCCUAUAGUAUUAAUUAGUAAAUUUUUAUUCUUAAUUGUAUUCUGCCGGUAGUUUUCAAUUUACUAUUUUAGGGGCUUUCUUACGUAAGCAACCCUCGUUUAUCAUCAAAUUGUUAUAUCUUAUGUCACUUAGUACUUUUAGUAUGGGAUGUAGUAGCCUGCUGCUCUUGUUUGCCUUCUUUCAUUUUCUUUCUGUGCCAUACUGGCAAAUUGAAUAAGCAACAGCACUUUCAGGUGAUCUUAACAAAUGCUUUCUUGAGGAAAUGAUUAUACUGCAGGCUGCAGCUGAAAUUGGUGUUCAUGGAAUUAUAUGGUUCACUUGAAUAGUAUAUCUACUGUGAGAGUUGGAAAGCAAUGUAUUCUCAUUCUUCUACUUUAACAAUCUCUUAUGUUCAAUGUUUCGAAAAGGAUUUUCCAGGUAAGUCAUUUUGCCUUGGAAUCAGGUAAAGGCACAAGACUUGCUAGGUGCACACUUUUUUCUUCUUCCAGGUGUUCUCAAUCCUUAGAUGUGCCUUUCGCCUUUCGGUCUCCUUUUUAUUUCUAGAGGUGGAGAAGCAGAAAACCUUCUUUCUUAGAUAAUGAGUAUAAUAAUUAUUAUUAUUAAUUUUGACAGUGAGGAGGUGUGUGGUUGACUGUAGCAGGAGUUAGGAGAGGUAGAGGUAGGCCGAAGAAGAACUGGCAGAGGUGAUUGGACAAAACAUGGCAGGACUUCAGCUGACUGAGGACAUGGACUUAGAUAGGAAGGUAUGGAGGUCGAGGAUUAGUGUAUAAGGUAAGUAGGUAGUUGAGUGUUGUUGUACUUCUAGUAGUAUGAUUUAGUUAUCACGUAGUUUCUUUUUUUUUUUCCAAUGUGUAUUAAUAUUUGUACCUGCACUUGUUUUGUACAUUGCUAUUUUGUUAUCUCUUUUUCUUUCUUACUUUGUUGCAUCGGUUAAAUUUCUUUUGAGCCGAGGAUCUAUCGGAAACAACUUCUCUAUUUCACAAAGGUAGAGGUAAAGGUCUGCGUACAUCCUUUCCUCCCCAGACCCCACUUGUGGAAUUGCACUGAGUAUGUUGUUGUAUUAUUAUUAAUUAUUAAUUUUCCUGUUCCUUCCGGCAUUGUUCUGCCCAUAACUCCAUGACUAUAGAAAAUCUAAUCAUUCAUUCUAUUGAAAAUAUAAGGAACGGAAUACCACAAACUGUGUAGACGGUUAUAUUUCUUUUGUUUUUUCUUUAUAGAAUUAGCCUAAUGAAACAGUUGGUCAUGUAUAUGAGUGAUAGUGGUCUGACCUCUGUUAGAUAUUGAUCUGGUAGCUGGGAUAUGAAAGAAUGUGCAUUUGCCAACAAGGCAGCUCUUUCAAUCUGUUGAUCAUUCGCGCCAAUGUUUCCCAUCUUAAUGUUUUCUUUGAUGCUGCCAGAAAAUAGGGAUGGCUCCUGGGAAACUACUCCUAUGUUUCUCCUAAGAAACUUCAAAUCAAGAUCUUUGAUGUUGUGGUUGUCAAGGAGAAUCUCACCUGAUGAUUUUCAUACUGAUAGGGACAUGAUGGUGCUUUUACCACACCCGCUACUUCCAACAAUUGCCACUACUUUUCCUGCUGGAAUUGACAAAGAAAACCCUUGAAGAACUAACUUCUCCUGCCGUGAUGGAUAAGCGAAGUGUACAUCCCGUAUGUUGAUAUUGCCAUCUAUUUCUUCAAAUGUCAUCCCUCCGGAGUCGGCAUUUAUUGUGGGUUUUCUGUCAAUCAUCUGGAAAACUUCCUUUCCUGCUGCUUUUGCUUGAUUGAAGAUUUGUAUAUCUGGUGCAGCAUAUGUAAGUGAUCUGAAAUUUGAAAAAGAAAAAGAAAAACUCAUCCGGUUGCUGUUUUUAAGGUACUUGAGUUUCUUCUUCAUAAUAUGAAGAAUCUGUUGAAGAAUAUGAGGUUUUUGCUCUUACAUUGCUCCAAACAGAAUACUCAUAACUGCAGCUAUGACAUCUCCUCCUGUUGAUCUCUUGGCUGUUACAACAACAGCUCCCACCCAUACAAUUAGAGCCCACGAAGCGAAAGUUAUAGUCUGGAACGUGCCUGUUCCAAGACCUUUUAUAAAUGCUUCUUUCUUGCUUAACUUCAUUUGUCUUUCUAUGCAAUCUGAGAAGGAUUUGAUUGAUAAAUUUUCUCCAACAAAAGCAAAUACAGUUCUGAUCUGGGAGAUCGUCUGUCAUAGAGCAUCAGAUAUGCAGUAUGAAUAAAUUGUCUUUUGAUAUUGCAAAAUAAGAUUGGCAAUUGAAUUAUGCGGUAUAACAUGAUAUUGUUAAUGCAGAAAUUGCUAUAACUUGUUACCUCUUCUACCAUUGAUGUGGCCUCUGACAGGUUUGCCAUUUUUAUAUUCGAAAUCUUACUCAUUCUCUUUGUGUAGCUGGCGCCAGUUAACAUUAUCAAUGGAACAACUAUUAAGGAUAGGAGAGACACUUCCCAGCAGGAUACGAAUGCAAUUAAUACUCCAGAACCAAACGUUGCAAUGCAUGAUAGAAAAUGUCCCAACUGUCACGUGAAAAGAAGAUUUCUUAGGGAUGAGCUUUUGUACCUUCUCUCCAAUGGUGUCCUGUAUGAGUGACAUGUGGUUGCCUAUACCUAUCCGAACCAAUAAAGGAUCAAUUAAAUAUGGCGAAGCAGAAUUCUAAGAAGGAGAAGGAGAAGAAGGAUGUAUCUUCUUCUUUCAAAAGAAAUGUGGAAAAAAAACCCAAAAAGGGUAGAAAAAUUGGAUCCCAGAUUUCUCG